AGUGGCGCACGGGUGAGUAACGCCUAGACAUCUGCCCUUCAGUCUGGGACAACUUUUCGAAAGGAGAGCUAAUACCUGAUGACCACAUAAGUGGAAAGCUCCGGCGCUGAUGGAGGGGUCUGCGUCCCAUUGUCUAGUUGGUAAGGUAAAGGCUUACCAAGGCGACGAUGGGUAGCGGGUUUGAGAGGACUAUCCGCCACACUGGAACUGAGACACGGUCCAGACUCCUACGGGAGGCAGCAGUGGGGAAUAUUGCACAAUGGAGGCAACUCUGAUGCAGCAAUGUCGCGUGAGUGAAGAAGGCCCUUGGGUCGUAAAGCUCUUUUAUGGGGGAAGAUGAUGACGGUACCCCAAGAAUAAGCACCGGCUAACUACGUGCCAGCAGCCGCGGUAAUACGUAGGGUGCGAGCGUUGUUCGGAAUUACUGGGCGUAAAGGGCGCGCAGGCGGAAUAGUAAGUCGGAGGUGAAAGCCCGGGGCUCAACCCCGGAGGGUCUUUCGAAACUACUAAUCUAGAGAGGGUCAGGGGCCAGCAGAAUUCAUGGUGUAGAGGUGAAAUUCGUAGAUAUCAUGAGGAAUACCGGUGGCGAAAGCGGCUGGCUGGGGCCACUCUGACGCUGAGGCGCGAAGCGUGGGAGCAAACAGGAUUAGAUACCCUGUAGUUCAACGUGA
rnacentral:rRNA from 1 species